rfam:Strongyloides venezuelensis genome assembly, scaffold: SVE_scaffold0000030
UCUCUGGUAGUAUAGUGGUGAGUAUCCGCGCCUGUCACGUGCGAGACCGGGGUUCGAUUCCCCGCCAGAGAG